rnacentral:rRNA from 1 species
UACGAAGGGGGCUAGCGUUGUUCGGAAUGACUGGGCGUAAAGGGCGCGUAGGCGGUUUGUCAAGUUGGGGGUGAAAUCCCGGGGCUUAACCUCGGAAUUGCCUUCAAGACUGGCAGGCUGGAGUAUGGAAGAGGGUCGUGGAAUUCCCAGUGUAGAGGUGAAAUUCGUAGAUAUUGGGAAGAACACCGGUGGCGAAGGCGGCGACCUGGUCCAUUACUGACGCUGAGGCGCGACAGCGUGGGGAGCAAACAGG